GGAGACGUUUUUAGUAAUCUGUUUCACUUCAAUGGGUUCGGGAGUUUGAUUGCUGGUUUCGAAAACCAGUGUGGGUUCACGCUCACCGGGGGUUCGAAUCCCCCCCUCUCCG
rnacentral:tRNA from 1 species